rnacentral:rRNA from 1 species
GAAAGUUCACACAGUGNCGGUAGCUUACCAGAAAGGGACGGCUAACUACGUGCCAGCAGCCGCGGUAAUACGUAGGUCCCGAGCGUUNUCCGGAUUUAUUGGGCGUAAAGGGAGCGCAGGCGGUCAGGAAAGUCUGGAGUAAAAGGCUAUGGCUCAACCAUAGUGUGCUCUGGAAACUNUCUGACUUGAGUGCAGAAGGGGAGAGUGGAAUUCCAUGUGUAGCGGUGAAAUGCGUAGAUAUAUGGAGGAACACCAGAGGCGAAAGCGGCUCUCUGGUCUGUCACUGACGCUGAGGCUCGAAAGCGUGGGUAGCGAACAGGAUUAGAUACCCUGGUAGUCCACGCCGUAAACGAUGAGUGCUAGGUGUUAGGCCCUUUCCGGGGCUUAGUGCCGGAGCUAACGCAAUAAGCACUCCGCCUGGAGAGUACGACCGCAAGGUUGAAACUCAAAGGAAUUGGCGGGGGCCCGCACAAGCGGUGGAGCAUGUGGUUUAAUUCGAAGCAACGCGAAGAACCUUACCAGGUCUUGACAUCCCGAUGCUAUUCUUAGAGAUAGGAAGUUACUUCGGUACAUCGGAGACAGGUGGUGCAUGGUUGUCGUCAGCUCGUGUCGUGAGAUGUUGGGUUAAGUCCCGCAACGAGCGCAACCCUUAUUGUUAGUUGCCAUCAUUAAGUUGGGCACUCUAGCGAGACUGCCGGUAAUAAACCGGAGGAAGGUGGGGAUGACGUCAAAUCAUCAUGCCCCUUAUGACCUGGGCUACACACGUGCUACAAUGGUCGGUACAACGAGUUGCGAGCCGGUGACGGCAAGCUAAUCUCUGAAAGCCGGUCUCAGUUCGGAUUGGAGGCUGCAACUCGCCUCCAUGAAGUCGGAAUCGCUAGUAAUCGCGGAUCAGCACGCCGCGGUGAAUACGUUCCCGGGCCUUGUACACACCGCCCGUCACACCACGAGAGUUUGUAACACCCGAAGUC